AAAUUGAAGAGUUUGAUCAUGGCUCAGAUUGAACGCUGGCGGCAGGCCUAACACAUGCAAGUCGAGCGGUAGCACAGAGAGCUUGCUCUCGGGUGACGAGCGGCGGACGGGUGAGUAAUGUCUGGGAAACUGCCUGAUGGAGGGGGAUAACUACUGGAAACGGUAGCUAAUACCGCAUAACGUCGCAAGACCAAAGUGGGGGACCUUCGGGCCUCAUGCCAUCAGAUGUGCCCAGAUGGGAUUAGCUAGUAGGUGGGGUAAUGGCUCACCUAGGCGACGAUCCCUAGCUGGUCUGAGAGGAUGACCAGCCACACUGGAACUGAGACACGGUCCAGACUCCUACGGGAGGCAGCAGUGGGGAAUAUUGCACAAUGGGCGCAAGCCUGAUGCAGCCAUGCCGCGUGUAUGAAGAAGGCCUUCGGGUUGUAAAGUACUUUCAGCGAGGAGGAAGGCAUUAAGGUUAAUAACCUUAGUGAUUGACGUUACUCGCAGAAGAAGCACCGGCUAACUCCGUGCCAGCAGCCGCGGUAAUACGGAGGGUGCAAGCGUUAAUCGGAAUUACUGGGCGUAAAGCGCACGCAGGCGGUCUGUUAAGUCAGAUGUGAAAUCCCCGGGCUCAACCUGGGAACUGCAUUUGAAACUGGCAGGCUUGAGUCUUGUAGAGGGGGGUAGAAUUCCAGGUGUAGCGGUGAAAUGCGUAGAGAUCUGGAGGAAUACCGGUGGCGAAGGCGGCCCCCUGGACAAAGACUGACGCUCAGGUGCGAAAGCGUGGGGAGCAAACAGGAUUAGAUACCCUGGUAGUCCACGCUGUAAACGAUGUCGACUUGGAGGUUGUUCCCUUGAGGAGUGGCUUCCGGAGCUAACGCGUUAAGUCGACCGCCUGGGGAGUACGGCCGCAAGGUUAAAACUCAAAUGAAUUGACGGGGGCCCGCACAAGCGGUGGAGCAUGUGGUUUAAUUCGAUGCAACGCGAAGAACCUUACCUACUCUUGACAUCCAGAGAACUUAGCAGAGAUGCUUUGGUGCCUUCGGGAACUCUGAGACAGGUGCUGCAUGGCUGUCGUCAGCUCGUGUUGUGAAAUGUUGGGUUAAGUCCCGCAACGAGCGCAACCCUUAUCCUUUGUUGCCAGCGGUUCGGCCGGGAACUCAAAGGAGACUGCCAGUGAUAAACUGGAGGAAGGUGGGGAUGACGUCAAGUCAUCAUGGCCCUUCGAGUAGGGCUACACACGUGCUACAAUGGCAUAUACAAAGAGAAGCGACCUCGCGAGAGCAAGCGGACCUCAUAAAGUAUGUCGUAGUCCGGAUUGGAGUCUGCAACUCGACUCCAUGAAGUCGGAAUCGCUAGUAAUCGUAGAUCAGAAUGCUACGGUGAAUACGUUCCCGGGCCUUGUACACACCGCCCGUCACACCAUGGGAGUGGGUUGCAAAAGAAGUAGGUAGCUUAACCUUCGGGAGGGCGCUUACCACUUUGUGAUUCAUGACUGGGGUGAAGUCGUAACAAGGUAACCGUAGGGGAACCUGCGGUUGGAUCACCUCCUUACCUGAAAGAA
rnacentral:rRNA from 1 species